GGCUGGGUGGCCUAAUGGCUUAAGGCAUCACUUUCCGGUUCUUAAUGACUGAGACUGGUGAAGAUUGCGGGUUCGAGUCCCGUCCUGGUCG